rnacentral:ncRNA from 1 species
CAGAGUAAAAGAAUACGCGUCAAGUGUUUGCUGUACGGGGAGUUGACAGCAUGACGAAGGACGCGCGCGUCUUAUCGAUUCCUUGAUUAAUUCUCGCGCUCCGCGGUGUGUUCUUUGCAUCCCGCUGU